rnacentral:tRNA from 1 species
GGGGAGUUAUACCGUAAGUAGUAGCGGGGCUGACUGUAAAUCAGUUGCGAAAGCUCGGGUGGUGCAACUCCAUCACUCCCCA